GAUGAACGCUGGCGGCGUGCCUAAUACAUGCAAGUCGAGCGAACGGACGAGAAGCUUGCUUCUCUGAUGUUAGCGGCGGACGGGUGAGUAACACGUGGAUAACCUACCUAUAAGACUGGGAUAACUUCGGGAAACCGGAGCUAAUACCGGAUGAUAUUUUGAACCGCAUGGUUCAAAAGUGAAAGACGGUCUUGCUGUCACUUAUAGAUGGAUCCGCGCUGCAUUAGCUAGUUGGUAAGGUAACGGCUUACCAAGGCAACGAUGCAUAGCCGACCUGAGAGGGUGAUCGGCCACACUGGAACUGAGACACGGUCCAGACUCCUACGGGAGGCAGCAGUAGGGAAUCUUCCGCAAUGGGCGAAAGCCUGACGGAGCAACGCCGCGUGAGUGAUAAGGUCUUCGGAUCGUAAAACUCUGUUAUUAGGGAAGAACAUAUGUGUAAGUAACUGUGCACAUCUUGACGGUACCUAAUCAGAAAGCCACGGCUAACUACGUG
rnacentral:rRNA from 1 species